CUGAGGGUUUAUUGGGUAACAAGAUCAACAUAUUUAUACAACGAGUUUCUAAUAAGUUACUGUACAAUUGUUUGUUAUUAUCCUGAACAUGAAACAAGAGAUGCGAAACAAUAGACCUCGCUUCGUUUAUCAAUCGGAAUGCGAGAUUUUAUUCAAUGAUGCGAUUCUACCAAAAAUUAUAUAUGUAUUGUAUCACAGGUGUGUGACAGGGAGCUUUACCCAGUAUCUAUGUUCAGAGUUGAUGUCGACGAGAGGCAGUCGAGUGAUCUUCCAGAAAGCGGAAAAAGUAGACCUUCCCAAGAAAAUUCAGAUGGUGAAAGGCGUGCAGUGGCUCCAGCAAUUACCCAUGAUGUUCAGCCGUUGAAAACUCAAAUUGCUGAUGCUUAUGGUUUCGUCAAACAUCCUAAUAAAUACCAGUGGAAGACACUACCAAGUUUUGAAGGUCAAAUCGGAAAAGGAGGCUGGGCAGCAGCAGCUCGACUGGCAGAGCAAUUCUUCAGAGACAACAACAACGGCGCAACACCAUGGAAACAUUUACUGGACAACCGAACCCCUAUCAACCUCCUUUACAUUACAGCGGCUAGAUACCUAUUUGUAACCCACGUUCUUUGGGAAAAAAGUAAUAGAAGGUUAAUCGCUUGUCAGGAAAAUAGAGCCGGAGGCAAAAAAAACCUUAUUGAAAGCAUCGAGAUCCCUGCAACUGGAGUGUGUUUUCCUUUACCUUAUGGCAGCGCCACCUACAAAUCAGACUACGACGUCGGGCUCAUCGGAAAAGACUCUGGAACCGUCACACAGAGCUUUAAUCAGUAUUUUCAAGCCGCCGCCCCGGAUGGAUUCGGAAAACCCUCGGAGCUUGUAUUUGACACAAAUGUUUACGCCUUCACCCUGGAAUUUGCUUUUCCAAAGAUGUUUCCCAAGCUACGCGAUAAUUUUGCUAAUAGAGUCGAAAAACUUGAGAUGAAAGUGAAGUACAAAAUGCAAGAAUUGGCCAGUGCUUAUUACAAGGUGUUUAAGUACAACAACGAUUUCUAUACAGUGUUGACGAGUUCAGCCCAAAAUAGAAUGCUAGCGGCUCCCAAGCAAGUGUUAAAUGGGUGGCUGACAACCUUCGGUGACUUAAACACCGCAGAAAGUUUCAGACAAGGGCCAGACACAAGCGAUCAUGACUUCAGACUCGCCCACAACAAUAAGUACCAAGCGUUUGUGGCAGCCGUGUCACAAAACGGAGGAUAUAACCCAAACAUGAUAGACAACGUUGCGAAGGCCCUACUCUACGCUGCUGAGGCGUAUCAUACCCGUGGCGCCAUACGACAUGUGGUAGUGGGCAUGCAGAUGAAGGUGUUCGUAAGGCCCACGUUGAACACACCGCUGUCAACCUACGACCUGUGGGUGUCCAUGAUUGAAAACUGGGGAGAUGCAAAUAAGGAGUAUCAACACUGUGGUCAUGAUAACCUCCUCAUAAAGGCGUGCUUGAACAAAAUGAGCAAAUAUUUGGCGAGGAUGUUCGAUGCCAUGCGACCGAUCCGUAAGCGCAUACAAGGAAACGAAAAAAAUCGAAUGAUAGACAUGGGUGACCCCGCGGGAUAUGCGGACUUAUGGCGGCGUGAGGGUCAGAGAGCACAAGCUGUAACUUAUUACAGGUUUUUGAAACAGUUCCAAUGCAUGGCAAUGGUAAACGUAAACGCAGAGGCACCCGUCGCUAAUCAGCCUCUAUCAAGUAAUUGUAUGGCAAACAUCAACAACGUAGUGAACACUUAUAAUGCAGUCCUGGCAGGUCUCGUGACCAACAAGGACGGAAAAGGGAUGUAAGCCCCAUUCUCCUUGUGAAGACCUCACAGAACAAGUAAUGACUUCUCCUGACAACGCCAAUACACUAUCAAGCAACAGGUGGGGAGAAUUAUGCAAAUCAUCAAGAGACCCAAAUAGUAUUGAUUAUACCUCCAAAUUUUCACAAAGGAUUUUAACUUGCAAGAAUAGUUUCCAAUCAGAUGUAGGCUGGGUAGUCAUCAUAGAUCACCAAAGCAGUACAGCUUCACUGUUAUAUCUAGCCAUUAACUUACUCAUAUUUAAAGUAUACAUAAUCAGUGUCUACAUUAUAAGGCAAAAGAGUCCUUUAUUAGUAGAAAAAGUUCCCAUAAACAAAUGAAAAUGUCUUAUAACAUGAAGAAUCAAUAGGAAAAAUAUGACCUAAUAAGAAUCAAAAUCUACAAAAACUGGAAAUAACACGCAAUAUCGAUGUUUGAAGUUCCUGCUUGCCGCCAUUUUGAAUCGUUUGACGCCACACGGUUGCCGUUCUGGAUCGUUACCAGUAACUGAGCAACUCCGCACCUACCCCUCCCCUAAUCCAAAUUAAACGUUCACUUGCUUAAAGUUGACUGUUUUGGUUUAGGGCGGGGAGGGGUGGGUGUGCAAGUGCUCAGAUACUUCCAUUGAUCAUUCAUUAUUAUAACCAAACAACAGCUCCUAUGAUCGUGAGGCUCUGAUCAGUCAUUAAGCAGAUCAUAGUUUCCAGUGAUGGAUCUUGGGGGGUACACGGGGGGGGGCGACCACCUCCACCCCCUCCCCUCCUGAUUUUGGGUAAAAAAAAGUAGACACAUAGGGAAGAAGAGCCGCAGGUGGACACACGGAAACAAAACCGCACCCCCUCCCCCUCCUCCCUUAGCUCAAAGUCUGGAUCCGAGGCCUGGAUCCGCCACUGGUUUCAACCAGGAAAUUAAAGUCACACGAUCUAACUCCUCCGCAAGCACGAAAUUCCACUUUCAAAGGCCGUAUCUGUUUCGCUUUUUUCUUACAAAACAACGCUUUUUUCACAUUAAUGCAGAAAAAUUUUAACUUUAAAGAUCAACUUAGAUAACUUGACGACCAUCUGUUCUGACAGUAGUGGUUUGGUAUAAAGAAUGAGAGAAGCCGAUAUACGCCCUCGUGGCAUGAGAAUACUUAACUACCAAGAUCUUAUUAUUAUUCUCCUCACUAGCUGCUACACAUUUACUCGUAUAGUUUUUAAGAGAAUUUGGUGUUUAAUCAAGACAACAAAUUCUAUCUGAUAAGCUUGAGAAAUAUCAUUAUCGAGAGAAGUUGCAUGUUAAUCACUUCAACUCUUAUCUUCCGGUAAUCUUUUAUUUACAAUAGUCGUUGCAUGAUACCUAACUAAGAUAUUCGAGAUCUAAAACCAAGAGAGAAAACCCUGGAGAUUAUAAAAUCGGUGAAAGAAUCCAUAAUUGCACUUUGGAAAUCAUUGAUUAAGCAGUAGAUGUUUUAAGAGAUAGACCAUUUUACGUAAAAACUUUUAAAGUGACACCUGCACUGCUAGCAGUCUCACUCAUUAGGACGAAGUGAGACUGAUCUGGGACCAUGUUGGUCACGCGCGUCCUUAAUGGGAGCCAUUCUAUUAUCUAACGUAUUUUAGAACGCAUGAAGUCUUUACUUAGGUUGUAGUUCGUCCCUUAAGAUUUUCUUGACUCUUGGUAACUGUGAGGCUCGAUUUCCAGCCGCUGUUCGGGAACCGGAGCCCGCGCUCCUGCUCGAAGAGGGAGUAACGAAAAAGGCUGGAUCCGAGUGAGGGGCGGAAAUCGAGCCUUAGUUAAAUUUGGGUGAUUGUUCAUCCCUGUUGGAGAGCCAGGGAAAAAGCUGCGAUAUCGAUGAAGAUUGCGCCGAGCUGUCCGGAACGUGACUACCUUCAUAUCAUACUAAAAUACCGACAGCUUUUACAAUAAAUAGCAACAGUUUGUAUUAGGAUGAAGUGAACCUGAGAGAAGAUUUAAUUGGGCUUCAGACCGGCUCGGACCAGAAAGUGGUCUUAAGUAUAAGCGUAACGAUUUCUUCCUUACAUAAAUUUAAACUUUUCCUACCAAAUAUGAGCGACUGAAAGUCGGGACCGCCUAUUGUUAUCAUUGAAUAAUCUUAACCGCAUUUAACCGAAAAAAAAAAAAAUUAAAAAAGCCUAAAAAAAAGCCAGUAGUCGUACUCAACACUUUAACAACAAAACUAGGAUUACUUUCUCGUAUGGAUUA
rnacentral:misc_RNA from 1 species